rnacentral:rRNA from 1 species
UACGUAGGGACCAAGCGUUGUUCGGAUUUACUGGGCGUAAAGGGCGCGUAGGCGGCGUGGUAAGUCACUUGUGAAAUCUCUGAGCUUAACUCAGAACGGCCAAGUGAUACUGCUGUGCUAGAGUGCAGAAGGGGCAAUCGGAAUUCUUGGUGUAGCGGUGAAAUGCGUAGAUAUCAAGAGGAACACCUGAGGUGAAGACGGGUUGCUGGGCUGACACUGACGCUGAAGCGCGAAAGCCAGGGGAGCAAGCGGG